GUGUGACUGCGUACCUUUUGUAUAAUGGGUCAGCGACUUAUAUUCUGUAGCAAGGUUAACCGAAUAGGGGAGCCGAAGGGAAACCGAGUCUUAACUGGGCGUUAAGUUGCAGGGUAUAGACCCGAAACCCGGUGAUCUAGCCAUGGGCAGGUUGAAGGUUGGGUAACACUAACUGGAGGACCGAACCGACUAAUGUUGAAAAAUUAGCGGAUGACUUGUGGCUGGGGGUGAAAGGCCAAUCAAACCGGGAGAUAGCUGGUUCUCCCCGAAAGCUAUUUAGGUAGCGCCUCGUGAAUUCAUCUCCGGGGGUAGAGCACUGUUUCGGCAAGGGGGUCAUCCCGACUUACCAACCCGAUGCAAACUGCGAAUACCGGAGAAUGUUAUCACGGGAGACACACGGCGGGUGCUAACGUCCGUCGUGAAGAGGGAAACAACCCAGACCGCCAGCUAAGGUCCCAAAGUCAUGGUUAAGUGGGAAACGAUGUGGGAAGGCCCAGACAGCCAGGAUGUUGGCUUAGAAGCAGCCAUCAUUUAAAGAAAGCGUAAUAGCUCACUGGUCGAGUCGGCCUGCGCGGAAGAUGUAACGGGGCUAAACCAUGCACCGAAGCUGCGGCAGCGACGCUUAUGCGUUGUUGGGUAGGGGAGCGUUCUGUAAGCCUGUGAAGGUGUACUGUGAGGUAUGCUGGAGGUAUCAGAAGUGCGAAUGCUGACAUAAGUAACGAUAAAGCGGGUGAAAAGCCCGCUCGCCGGAAGACCAAGGGUUCCUGUCCAACGUUAAUCGGGGCAGGGUGAGUCGACCCCUAAGG
rnacentral:rRNA from 1 species